CAGCAGCCGCGGUAAUACGUAGGUGGCAAGCGUUAUCCGGAAUUAUUGGGCGUAAAGCGCGCGUAGGCGGUUUUUUAAGUCUGAUGUGAAAGCCCACGGCUCAACCGUGGAGGGUCAUUGGAAACUGGAAAACUUGAGUGCAGAAGAGGAAAGUGGAAUUCCAUGUGUAGCGGUGAAAUGCGCAGAGAUAUGGAGGAACACCAGUGGCGAAGGCGACUUUCUGGUCGGUAACUGACGCUGAUGUGCGAAAGCGUGGGGAUCAAACAGGAUUAGAUACCCGCGUAGUCCCUGUCUCUUAUAC
rnacentral:rRNA from 1 species